CCCUCUGGGUCCAACCUCCCACCCGUGUUUAUUUUACCUUGUUGCUUCGGCGGGCCCGCCUUAACUGGCCGCCGGGGGGCUUACGCCCCCGGGCCCGCGCCCGCCGAAGACACCCUCGAACUCUGUCUGAAGAUUGUAGUCUGAGUGAAAAUAUAAAUUAUUUAAAACUUUCAACAACGGAUCUCUUGGUUCCGGCAUCGAUGAAGAACGCAGCGAAAUGCGAUACGUAAUGUGAAUUGCAAAUUCAGUGAAUCAUCGAGUCUUUGAACGCACAUUGCGCCCCCUGGUAUUCCGGGGGGCAUGCCUGUCCGAGCGUCAUUGCUGCCCUCAAGCACGGCUUGUGUGUUGGGCCCCGUCCUCCGAUCCCGGGGGACGGGCCCGAAAGGCAGCGGCGGCACCGCGUCCGGUCCUCGAGCGUAUGGGGCUUUGUCACCCGCUCUGUAGGCCCGGCCGGCGCUUGCCGAUCAACCCAAAUUUUUAUCCAGGUUGACCUCGGAUCAGGUAGGGAUACCCGCUGAACUUAAGCAUAUCAAUA
rnacentral:rRNA from 1 species